GUUUGAGCCCGGGUCAGAUUCAGAAAAAGCGGAUGAUCAAGCGGAACUAAUUUUGCAAACACGACUUGAGCAGAACAUUUUUACAGUGACCUUGUUUGCUGCACCAUGAUUGUGAGGAACUCAACAAAAUGCAAGUGGAUUGAUUUGCAUCCAAACUGCAUGUGUGUAUGUUGAUGAAUGAUGCCAGAACCACUGAACCUGUUAAUGCUGCACCUGCCUUGAUGGAACAGCCACCAAUACACCCAUCCACAAUGGACAGAGACAUAUAUGCACCCCUCACAUCUGGACAAAGACACUCAUUCCCUUCCAUCAUUCCAGAACAGAGACAAUCAUGCAU
ensembl:lncRNA